rnacentral:rRNA from 1 species
AUUAAUGAAAGAUGUUUUCUGCUCAAUGAUAAUAAAUAGCCGCAGUAAUUUGACUGUGCGAAGGUAGCAUAAUCAUUUGCUUUUUAAUUUGAGGCUUGUAUGAAUGGAAAUAUGAAAAUUUUUCUGUCUUUAUUUAAUAAAUAAAAAUUGGUUUUUUUGUGAAGAAACAAAAAUAGAGUAAAGGGACAAGAAGACCCUUUUGAUCUUUAUUUUUUUUAAUAAUUGUUUAUAUUUAAAAAAUUUGGUUGGGGCGAUCAAAGAAGAAAAAAAUCUUCUUUUGUAAAAAAAUGAAUGAUCCGAAAUUUUCGAUUAAGAGAUUAAGUUACCAAAGGGAUAACAGCGUAAUUUUUUUUGAAAGUUCUUAUUAAAAGAAAAGAUUGCGACCUCGAUGUUGACUUAUUAUAACUUUUUGAUGUAGCAGUUAAAAAAGUGGGUCUGUUCGACCUUUAAAGUAUUACGUGAUCUGAGUUCAGACCA